rnacentral:rRNA from 1 species
GACGAACGCUGGCGGCGUGCUUAACACAUGCAAGUCGAACGUAAAGGCCCUGCUUGCCGGGUACUCGAGUGGCGAACGGGUGAGUAACACGUGGGUGAUCUGCCCUGCACUUCGGGAUAAGCCUGGGAAACUGGGUCUAAUACCGGAUAGGAGCCAUUUUUAGUGUGAUGGUUGGAAAGUUUUUUCGGUGUAGGAUGAGCUCGCGGCCUAUCAGCUUGUUGGUGGGGUAAUGGCCUACCAAGGCGGCGACGGGUAGCCGGCCUGAGAGGGUGGACGGCCACAUUGGGACUGAGAUACGGCCCAGACUCCUACGGGAGGCAGCAGUGGGGAAUAUUGCACAAUGGGCGCAAGCCUGAUGCAGCGACGCCGCGUGGGGGAUGACGGCCUUCGGGUUGUAAACUCCUUUCGCUAGGGACGAAGCUUUUUGUGACGGUACCUAGAUAAGAAGCACCGGCUAACUACGUG